UACAGAGGGGGCGAGCGUUAGUCGGAUUUACUGGGCGUAAAGUGUGCGUAGGCGGCUUUUUAAGUCGGAUGUGAAAUCCCCGAGCUUAACUUGGGAAUUGCAUUCGAUACUGGGAAGCUAGAGUAUGGGAGAGGAUGGCAGAAUUCUAGGUGUAGCGGUGAAAUGCGUAGAGAUCCGGAGGAAUACCGAUGGCGAAGGCAGGCAUCUGGACUAAUACUGACGCUGAGGUACGAAAGCAUGGGGAGCAAACAGG
rnacentral:misc_RNA from 1 species